rnacentral:rRNA from 1 species
AGGGCGCAUGGCGGAUGCCUUGGCUCUCGGAGGCGAUGAAGGACGUGAUAAGCUGCGAUAAGCUUUGGGGAGGUGCAAAUGACCUUUGAUCCAGAGAUUUCCGAAUGGGACAACCCAAUAUCUUGAAGAGGUAUUAUCCAACGUUGUUGGAGGCUAACGCAGGGAACUGAAACAUCUUAGUACCUGCAGGAAAAGAAAAUAAACAAUGAUUCCCCCAGUAGUGGCGAGCGAACGGGGAACAGCCCAAACCAUCCAUGUUACGGCAUGGGUGGGGUUGUAGGACUACGUCGUUGCAUGAAGACAUCAGAGAAGAACUUUCUGGAAAGAAAGACCAUAGAGCAUGACAGUUGCGUAUUCGAAUGUUGUCGAAGCAUAGUAGUAUCCUGAGUAGCGCGGAGCACGAGGAAUUCUGCGUGAAUCUGCCGGGACCAUCCGGUAAGGCUAAAUACUCCCGAGAGACCGAUAGCGAACCAGUACCGUGAGGGAAAGGUGAAAAGCACUUCGAACAGAAGAGUGAAAUAGUUCCUGAAACCGUGCGCCUACAAGCGGUCGGAGCUCGUUAAUGAGUGACGGCGUGCCUUUUGCAUAAUGAACCUACGAGUUGCCUUUGCCGGCAAGGUUAAGUGUGACGACACACGUAUCCGAAGCGAAAGCGAGUCUGAAUAGGGCGUAUAGUCGGCAGUGGCAGACGCGAAACCAAGUGAUCUACCCUUGGCCAGGUUGAAGGCUGGGUAACACCAGCUGGAGGACCGCACCAAUAAGCGUUGAAAAGCUUCUGGAUGAGCUGAGGGUAGGGGUGAAAGGCUAAUCAAACUUGGAGAUAGCUCGUACUCCCCGAAAUGCAUUUAGGUGCAGCCUUGUGAGUUACUAAUGUGAGGUAGAGCGACUGAUAAGAUGCGAGGGCUUCACCGCCUAUCAAGUCUUGACAAACUCCGAAUGCGCAUCAGUUCUACCGCAGGAGUGAGGGCAUGGGUGCUAAGGUCCGUGCCCGAGAGGAGAAGAAUCCGGACCACCUGCUAAGGUCCCGAAAUAACAGCUAAGUUAAACUAACGAAGUCAGAUUGCUAAGACAGCUAGGAUGUUGGCUUGGAAGCAGCCAUUCAUUUAAAGAGUGCGUAACAGCUCACUAGUCGAGGAGUCGGGCGUGGAUAAUAAUCGGGUAUUAAGUUGUCUACCGAAGCAGUGGGAUCAUUUAUAUGAUCGGUAGGGGAGCAUUCCAGUCAGCGUCGAAGGCGUACCGUGAGGUAUUCUGGAGCGUCUGGAAAAGCAAAUGUAGGUAUAAGUAACGAUAAAGGGGGCGGGAAACCCCCUCGCCGAAAGACUAAGGUUUCCUGAUCAACGCUAAUCGGAUCAGGGUCAGUCGGGUCCUAAGGCUCAGCCGAACGGCGAUGCCGAUGGCAGAAACGGUUAAUAUUCCGUUACUACCUUCAGGAGUGACGUGGAGACGCAGUAGUGACAGUGCCGCCAUCUGACGGAAUAGAUGGUUGAAGGGUGUAGGAGUCGAUCAUGGCAGGCAAAUCCACCAUGAGAUCCGAACCUGAUAGUAUGCCGCGUCCUUCGGGACAAGGCAAUAGUGCGCGUAAGCAUGCUGCCGAGAAAAUCCGCUAAACUUAAUCCUGCAGGUACCCGUACCGCAAACGGACACACGUAGUCGGGUUGAAUAUACUAAGGCGCUUGAGUGAUUCACGGUUAAGGAACUAGGCAAACUGACCCUGUAACUUCGGGAUAAAGGGUCCCUACCCUUUUAUGGGAGGGCGCAGAGAAUCGGUCCAGGCAACUGUUUAACAAAAACACAGGGCUGUGCGAAGUCGAAAGACGCUGUAUACAGCCUGACACCUGCCCGGUGCUGGAAGGUUAAGAGGAGAUGUCAUCGCAAGAGAAGCAUUGAAUUGAAGCCCCAGUAAACGGCGGCCGUAACUAUAACGGUCCUAAGGUAGCGAAAUUCCUUGUCGGGUAAGUUCCGACCUGCACGAAUGGUGUAAUGAUCUGGACACUGUCUCAACCGUGAGCUCGGUGAAAUUGUAGUAUCGGUGAAGAUGCCGAUUACCCGCGAUGGGACGAAAAGACCCCGUGAACCUUUACUAUAGCUUAUCAUUGAAUCUGGGCACGUGAUGUGUAGGAUAGGUCGGAGGCUUUGAAGCAGGUACGCCAGUAUUUGUGGAGCCGCUGUUGAAAUACGACCCUUUAUUUGUUUGGAUUCUAACCCGUGGAACGGGGACAUUGAUUGGUGGGUAGUUUGACUGGGGUGGUCGCCUCCAAAAGCGUAACGGAGGCUUCUAAAGGUGCCCUCACGACGAUUGGUAACCGUCGGCAGAGUG